rnacentral:lncRNA from 1 species
UCCGAAUCUAUCUCCCCACUCAGCUAUGCAGGUGUGUAAGGGGUGAAGUUCUCAAUGGGAGCCGAGACUAUCGCACAGUGCCAUAGAGAGACACCGAUGAAGUGUCAGUCAUGCUGGUGGCUGGCAGCGACGGCAGAGCAGAGCGUGACAUGCCAGUUGUUUUUUCCUGAGGGGAUGUGUGUUUUCUUGGUCUUGGAUCCACGGAGUGAUAGCAGAAUGUUCCAUUUAUUCUAUGGUUCUUUCCUUCCCUUCUUAUUUCUGCCACCAUGGCAUGAUCCAGAGCAGGGCGGUGUAACUGGGUGAUUCAACAUCACUGUUAUAGUGAUAGGAAGAGACACGGAGGAUUUUGCAACAAGUGCAAGUAGGAAAACCGUAAAG